UUGAACGCUGGCGGCAUGCCUUACCCAUGCAAGUCGAACGGUAACAGGUCUUCGGAUGCUGACGAGUGGCGAACGGGUGAGUAAUACAUCGGAACGUGCCCGAUCGUGGGGGAUAACGCAGCGAAAGCUGUGCUAAUACCGCAUACGAUCUACGGAUGAAAGCGGGGGAUCGCAAGACCUCGCGCGGACGGAGCGGCCGAUGGCAGAUUAGGUAGUUGGUGGGAUAAAAGCUUACCAAGCCGACGAUCUGUAGCUGGUCUGAGAGGACGACCAGCCACACUGGGACUGAGACACGGCCCAGACUCCUACGGGAGGCAGCAGUGGGGAAUUUUGGACAAUGGGCGCAAGCCUGAUCCAGCCAUGCCGCGUGCAGGAUGAAGGCCUUCGGGUUGUAAACUGCUUUUGUACGGAACGAAAAAGCUCUCUCUAAUACAGGGGGUGAAUGACGGUACCGUAAGAAUAAGCACCGGCUAACUACGUG
rnacentral:rRNA from 1 species